GACGAACGCUGGCGGCGUGCUUAACACAUGCAAGUCGAACGGAAAGGCCCUGCUUUUGUGGGGUGCUCGAGUGGCGAACGGGUGAGUAACACGUGAGUAACCUGCCCUUGACUUUGUGAUAACUUCAGGAAACUGGGGCUAAUACCGGAUAGGAGCUCCUGCUGCAUGGUGGGGGUUGGAAAGUUUCGUCGGUUGGGGAUGGACUCGCGGCUUAUCAGCUUGUUGGUGGGGUAGUGGCUUACCAAGGCUUUGACGGGUAGCCGGCCUGAGAGGGUGACCGGCCACAUUGGGAAUGAGAUGCGGCCGAGACUCCUACGGGAGGCAGCAGUGGGGAAUAUUGCACAAUGGGCGGAAGCCUGAGGCAGCAACGCCGCGUGCGGGAUGACGGCCUUCGGGUUGUGAACCGCUUUCGCCUGUGACGAAGCGUGAGUGACGGUAAUGGGUAAAGAAGCACCGGCUAACUACGUG
rnacentral:rRNA from 1 species